rnacentral:rRNA from 1 species
UGAGUACGAGAUGCUACGGCAUCGAAGCAGUCUAUGUCAUACUUCCAAGAAAAGCUUGCACUGUCAUAAACAAAGAAUGCCUGUACCAUAACCGACACAGGUGGGUAGGUAGAGUAUACUAAGGGGCGCGAGAUAACUCUCUCUAAGGAACUCGGCAAAAUGACUCCGUAACUUCGGGAGAAGGAGUGCCUUAUUUCUAAGGUUGCAAUAACAAGAUCCAAGCAACUGUUUACCAAAAACACAGGUCUCCGCUAAGUCGUAAGACGAUGUAUGGGGGCUGACGCCUGCCCAGUGCCAGAAGGUUAAAGAAGUUGGUUAGCAUUAGCGAAGCUGAUAACUGAAGCCCUGGUGAACGGCGGCCGUAACGAUAACGGUCCUAAGGUAGCGAAAUUCCUUGUCGGGUAAGUUCCGACCCGCACGAAAGGCGUAAUGAUUUGGAUACUGUCUCGGAGAGGGGCUCGGUGAAAUAGACUUGUCUGUGAAGAUGCGGACUACCUGCACCUGGACAGAAAGACCCUAUGAAGCUUUACUGUAACUUGAGAUUGAAAUUGGACUUUAUUUGCGCAGUAUAGGUGGGAGGCGUUGAGAAUAAUCUUGCGGGAUUGUUGGAGCCAUCAGUGAGAUACCACUCUUGUAAUGUUAGAUUUCUAACUUUGUAUCAUUAUCUGGUCAAAGAACAGUUUCAGGCGGGCAGUUUGACUGGGGCGGUCGCCUCCCAAAGGGUAACGGAGGCGCACAAAGGUUUCCUCUGAACGGGUAGAAAUCGUAUCUAGAGUGUAAAGGCAUAAGGAAGCUUGACUGUGAGACCUACAAGUCGAGCAGGGACGAAAGUCGGUCUUAGUGAUCUGACGGUGCUGAGUGGAAAGGCCGUCACUCAACGGAUAAAAGUUACUCUAGGAUAACAGGCUGAUCUCCCCCAAGAGUUCACAUCGACGGGGAGGUUUGGCACCUCGAUGUCGGCUCAUCGCAUCCUGGGGCGGUAGUCCGUCCCAAGGGUUGGGCUGUUCGCCCAUGAAAGCGGUACGCGAGCUGGGUUCAGAACGUCGUGAGACAGUUCGGUCCAUAUCCGGUGUAGGCGUUAGAAUAUUGAGAGGAGCCUUCUCUAGUACGAGAGGACCGAGAAGGACAUACCUCUGGUGUACCAGUUAUCGUGCCAACGGUAAACGCUGGGUAGCUAUGUAUGGAGUGGAUAACCGCUGAAAGCAUCUAAGUGGGAAGCCCACCUCAAGAUAAG